rnacentral:rRNA from 1 species
GAUGAACGCUGGCGGCGUGCCUAAUACAUGCAAGUCGAGCGAACGGACGAGAAGCUUGCUUCUCUGAUGUUAGCGGCGGACGGGUGAGUAACACGUGGAUAACCUACCUAUAAGACUGGGAUAACUUCGGGAAACCGUAGCUAAUACCGGAUAAUAUUUUGAACCGCAUGGUUCAAAAGUGAAAGACGGUCUUGCUGUCACUUAUAGAUGGAUCCGCGCUGCAUUAGCUAGUUGGUAAGGUAACGGCUUACCAAGGCAACGAUGCAUAGCCGACCUGAGAGGGUGAUCGGCCGCACUGGAACUGAGACACGGUCCAGACUCCUACGGGAGGCAGCAGUAGGGAAUCUUCCGCAAUGGGCGAAAGCCUGACGGAGCAACGCCGCGUGAGUGAUGAAGGUCUUCGGAUCGUAAAACUCUGUUAUUAGGGAAGAACAUAUGUGUAAGUAACUGUGCACAUCUUGACGGUACCUAAUCAGAAAGCCACGGCUAACUACGUGCCAGCAGCCGCGGUAAUACGUAGGUGGCAAGCGUUAUCCGGAAUUAUUGGGCGUAAAGCGCGCGUAGGCGGUUUUUUAAGUCUGAUGUGAAAGCCCACGGCUCAACCGUGGAGGGUCAUUGGAAACUGGAAAACUUGAGUGCAGAAGAGGAAAGUGGAAUUCCAUGUGUAGCGGUGAAAUGCGCAGAGAUAUGGAGGAACACCAGUGGCGAAGGCGACUUUCUGGUCUGUAACUGACGCUGAUGUGCGAAAGCGUGGGGAUCAAACAGGAUUAGAUACCCUGGUAGUCCACGCCGUAAACGAUGAGUGCUAAGUGUUAGGGGGUUUCCGCCCCUUAGUGCUGCAGCUAACGCAUUAAGCACUCCGCCUGGGGAGUACGACCGCAAGGUUGAAACUCAAAGGAAUUGACGGGGACCCGCACAAGCGGUGGAGCAUGUGGUUUAAUUCGAAGCAACGCGAAGAACCUUACCAAAUCUUGAUAUCCUUUGACAACUCUAGAGAUAGAGCCUUCCCCUUCGGGGGACAAAGUGACAGGUGGUGCAUGGUUGUCGUCAGCUCGUGUCGUGAGAUGUUGGGUUAAGUCCCGCAACGAGCGCAACCCUUAAGCUUAGUUGCCAUCAUUAAGUUGGGCACUCUAAGUUGACUGCCGGUGACAAACCGGAGGAAGGUGGGGAUGACGUCAAAUCAUCAUGCCCCUUAUGAUUUGGGCUACACACGUGCUACAAUGGACAGUACAAAGGGCAGCGAAACCGCGAGGUCAAGCAAAUCCCAUAAAGUUGUUCUCAGUUCGGAUUGUAGUCUGCAACUCGACUACAUGAAGCUGGAAUCGCUAGUAAUCGUAGAUCAGCAUGCUACGGUGAAUAUGUUCCCGGGUCU